rnacentral:rRNA from 1 species
GACGAACGCUGGCGGCGUGCCUAAUACAUGCAAGUCGAGCGAAGAUUUUCUGGUGCUUGCACUAGAAAAAUUUAGCGGCGCACGGGUGAGUAACACGUAAAGAACCUGUCUCAUAGACUGGGACCACUAUUGGAAACGAUAGCUAAUACCGGAUAACAGUAUUUCUCGCAUGAGAGAAAUUUAAAAGUUGGUUAUGCUCACACUAUGAGAUGGCCUUGCGGUGCAUUAGCUAGUUGGUGGGGUAAAGGCCCACCAAGGCAACGAUGCAUAGCCGACCUGAGAGGGUGAUCGGCCACACUGGGACUGAGACACGGCCCAGACUCCUACGGGAGGCAGCAGUAGGGAAUCUUCCGCAAUGGGCGAAAGCCUGACGGAGCAACGCCGCGUGAGUGAAGAAGGACUUCGGUUCGUAAAGCUCUGUUGUUAGGGAAGAAUGGAUGUGUAGUAACCAUACAUGUAAGAGACGGUACCUAACCAGAAAGCCACGGCUAACUACGUG